rnacentral:rRNA from 1 species
GUCUACGGCCAUGCCACCCUGAAUAAGCCCGAAGUCUGAUCUCUGAAGUUAAGCAGGUUCGGGCCUUGUUAGUAUUUGGAUGGGAGACCACCUGGGAAGACCAGGUGCUGUAGGCA